GUGCUCGCUUCAGCAGCACAUAGACUAAAAUUGGAAUGAUACAGAGAAGAUUCGCAUGACCCUGUGCAAGGAUGACACGCAAAUUUAUGAUGCGCUCCAUAUUUGA